AUUUUGAGUUAAUUUUUUUAUAUAAACACUAAGAAUGUAUUUCUUGCUGUUCUAUUCUGUAGACCCAUGUCUUAUGCCUUAUGCUACUUUCACCUGGUUUUGAUUACUGUUGUCUCUGCAGGAUCUUUCUUUUUUUGGUACUGGGGAUUGAACUCGGGACCUUGCACUUGCAAGGCCAGCGCUGGAACCACUAAAGCUAAAUCCCCAGCCCACAUUAGGAUUUCUUGAGGACUAGGACGGUGUGGCUAACAGUUUAUGACUGCUACUUAAUAACUCAGUAAGUACUGAAAUAAUGAUAAUG
rnacentral:lncRNA from 1 species